rnacentral:rRNA from 1 species
AACGAACGCUGGCGGCGGGCUUAACACAUGCAAGUCGAGCGGCACGCCCGGGGUGCGGCGGGGGGGUGGGGAACGCGUGGGGAGGUACACUUUGGUUUGGAACAACUCCGGGUUACUGGUGACAAUACCGGACAAGGGCUAACGGGGGAAGAUUGAUCGCCGUAAGAUCGGGGCGUGUCUGAUUAGCGAGGUGGUGGGGUGACGGCGCAGCAAGGCGGCGUGUAGUAGCUGGUCUGAGAGGAUGAGCAGCCACACUGGGGCUGCGACACGGCCGAGACUCCUACGGGAGGGAGGAGUGUGGAGCAUUGUACGAGGAGCGCAGGCGUAGUCCAGCCGUGCCGCGUGAGUGAUGAAGGCCUUAGGGUUGUGAAGCUCUUUUGUCCGAGAAGAUAGUGACGGUACCGGAAGAAUAAGCCCCGGCUAACUUCGUG